CUGUAAGCCGUUGAAGGUGUGCUGUGAGGCAUGCUGGAGGUAUCAGAAGUGCGAAUGCUGACAUAAGUAACGAUAAAGCGGGUGAAAAGCCCGCUCGCCGGAAGACCAAGGGUUCCUGUCCAACGUUAAUCGGGGCAGGGUGAGUCGACCCCUAAGGCGAGGCCGAAAGGCGUAGUCGAUGGGAAACAGGUUAAUAUUCCUGUACUUGGUGUUACUGCGAAGGGGGGACGGAGAAGGCUAUGUCAGCCGGGCGACGGUUGUCCCGGUUUAAGCAUGUAGGCGGAGGUUCCAGGUAAAUCCGGUACCUUUUAACGCUGAGGUGUGAUGACGAGGCACUACGGUGCUGAAGUGAUAAAUGCCCUGCUUCCAGGAAAAGCCUCUAAGCAUCAGGUAACACGAAAUCGUACCCCAAACCGACACAGGUGGUCAGGUAGAGAAUACCAAGGCGCUUGAGAGAACUCGGGUGAAGGAACUAGGCAAAAUGGUGCCGUAACUUCGGGAGAAGGCACGCUGAUAGGUAGGUGAAGUCCCUGCGGACGGAGCUGAAAUCAGUCGAAGAUACCAGCUGGCUGCAACUGUUUAUUAAAAACACAGCACUGUGCAAACACGAAAGUGGACGUAUACGGUGUGACGCCUGCCCGGUGCCGGAAGGUUAAUUGAUGGGGUUAGCGGCAACGCGAAGCUCUUGAUCGAAGCCCCGGUAAACGGCGGCCGUAACUAUAACGGUCCUAAGGUAGCGAAAUUCCUUGUCGGGUAAGUUCCGACCUGCACGAAUGGCGUAAUGAUGGCCAGGCUGUCUCCACCCGAGACUCAGUGAAAUUGAACUCGCUGUGAAGAUGCAGUGUACCCGCGGCAAGACGGAAAGACCCCGUGAACCUUUACUAUAGCUUGACACUGAACACUGGUCCUUGAUGUGUAGGAUAGGUGGGAGGCUUUGAAGCGUGGACGCCAGUCUGCGUGGAGCCAUCCUUGAAAUACCACCCUUUAAUGGCUGGUGUUCUAACGUAGACCCGUGAUCCGGGUUGCGGACAGUGUCUGGUGGGUAGUUUGACUGGGGCGGUCUCCUCCCAAAGAGUAACGGAGGAGCACGAAGGUUGGCUAAUCCUGGUCGGACAUCAGGAGGUUAGUGCAAUGGCAUAAGCCAGCUUGACUGCGAGCGUGACGGCGCGAGCAGGUGCGAAAGCAGGUCAUAGUGAUCCGGUGGUUCUGAAUGGAAGGGCCAUCGCUCAACGGAUAAAAGGUACUCCGGGGAUAACAGGCUGAUACCGCCCAAGAGUUCAUAUCGACGGCGGUGUUUGGCACCUCGAUGUCGGCUCAUCACAUCCUGGGGCUGAAGUAGGUCCCAAGGGUAUGGCUGUUCGCCAUUUAAAGUGGUACGCGAGCUGGGUUUAGAACGUCGUGAGACAGUUCGGUCCCUAUCUGCCGUGGGCGCUGGAGAAUUGAGGGGGGCUGCUCCUAGUACGAGAGGACCGGAGUGGACGCAUCACUGGUGUUCGGGUUGUCAUGCCAAUGGCACUGCCCGGUAGCUAAAUGCGGAAGAGAUAAGUGCUGAAAGCAUCUAAGCACGAAACUUGCCCCGAGAUGAGUUCUCCCUGAGACCUUGAGUC
rnacentral:rRNA from 1 species